rnacentral:rRNA from 1 species
UACGGGGGGUGCGAGCGUUGUCCGGAAUCACUGGGCGUAAAGGGCGCGUAGGUGGCGUCGUAAGUCUGUGGUGAAAGCCCGGAGCUCAACUCCGGGUCUGCCGCGGAUACUGCGAGGCUUGAGUGCUGUAGAGGAGGGUAGAAUGCCGGGUGUAGCGGUGGAAUGCGUAGAGAUCCGGCAGAAGACCGGUGGCGAAGGCGGCCCCCUGGGCAGUAACUGACACUGAGGCGCGACAGCGUGGGGAGCAAACAGG